rnacentral:rRNA from 1 species
CCUACGGGGAGCUGCAGUGGGGAAUAUUGGACAAUGGGCGAAAGCCUGAUCCAGCCAUGCCGCGUGUGUGAAGAAGGCCUUCGGGUUGUAAAGCACUUUCAGUGGGGAAGAAAGCCUUGGGGCUAAUACCCUCGAGGAAGGACAUCACCCACAGAAGAAGCACCGGCUAACUCCGUGCCAGCAGCCGCGGUAAUACGGAGGGUGCGAGCGUUAAUCGGAAUUACUGGGCGUAAAGCGCGCGUAGGCGGUCUGAUAAGCCGGUUGUGAAAGCCCCGGGCUCAACCUGGGAACGGCAUCCGGAACUGUCAGGCUAGAGUGCAGGAGAGGAAGGUAGAAUUCCCGGUGUAGCGGUGAAAUGCGUAGAGAUCGGGAGGAAUACCAGUGGCGAAGGCGGCCUUCUGGACUGACACUGACGCUGAGGUGCGAGAGCGUGGGUAGCAAACAGGAUUAGAUACCCUAGUAGUC